GGGGCUGUAGCUCAGUGGUGGAGCACUUGCCUAGCACGCGUGAGGCACUGGGUUCAAUCCUCAGCACCA
rnacentral:tRNA from 1 species